GAGGGCAAGCAGUCAGGGCAGCUGCUUUGCAGAAGGCCAUGUGCCCUGUGUGAGUUGGGAGAAGCUGAGCUGAGACUUAGGUGAACAAAACCUAAGCUUUUGGGAAGUUUCAGUUUCUUCUCACCGUAUUUCUGUGAGGACUGAACUGUUCAGAUUUUAAUUUGUUUUCUUUAUUUAUGUUUAUGUAUAACUAUGAAGUGUGUCCAGCAAGCAUCCUUUGCCUGGGCUGCAGCAGUGCUGCAAAGAAGGGGCUCUGGCAGCACCUGUACAAGAUUCUGGGGCACACGACAGAUGUAAAGCUGCCCACAGCUAUGCAUGGCAGGAGCCAGGCUGUCCUGCUGAAUGGAAGAAUCAAGAGACUAGCAAGCAGGAUCUGGCAGUUAUCUUUUACACAGUCAUCCAUGGAUUUCGAAGCCCGACUGCCA